UACGUAGGGUCCAAGCGUUAAUCGGAAUUACUGGGCGUAAAGCGUGCGCAGGCGGUGAUGUAAGACAGUUGUGAAAUCCCCGGGCUCAACCUGGGAACUGCAUCUGUGACUGCAUCGCUGGAGUGCGGCAGAGGGGGAUGGAAUUCCGCGUGUAGCAGUGAAAUGCGUAGAUAUGCGGAGGAACACCGAUGGCGAAGGCAAUCCCCUGGGCCUGCACUGACGCUCAUGCACGAAAGCGUGGGGAGCAAACAGG
rnacentral:rRNA from 1 species